UCUAAAAAGUUAGAGCCUGCCCUGUCCCUUCCAAUCCUGAUAUUCUAUGAUUCUAUUAAAAGCACAGAUGCUAGAAGGCUCCAGCACCUGCACCAGCACCAGGACUUGCCUCAUGCUACCAUGUCCAACAGUCAAUGCAGCUACUGGACAAUGCUGGGAGGAGCUCCAUAGGAGUUACAGAGGGCAGAGUGAGGAUUUCCAAUGGGCAUCAGUAACUGAGGGCAUUUCUAGCUGCCAGCUUCAGGAGAAGGAAUCAAAAACCAGCUCGCCUGAGAGAGGUAUUUGAGAGCCUGGCCUGAGGGUGUCUAAGAGAACCUAGAGCCCUGGGAUGAAGACCAUGGUCAACAGCUCCACUACUCAGAGAGUUCCAUUGUGUCAACCGUAAAGGUAAAGCUCAUAUGUGUGGGAGCCAGCCCAAGGCUGUGGGAUGAACGCCCCAGGAACCAAGGGCCACCACAAAUGUCCCCAUCUUCAUGCAAGGGCAAGGAGCAUUUCUUUGACCUUGCCUCCUCUAGCAGAAACAGACAGCAACAUGUGUACGUGUGUUCAGAGAAAAUAUAUACAAAUUCCAAAACAAGACACUCCCUGCACAUCCUUCUCCCCUGGGGCAAGGAUGAGAACAGACACAUGACCGAUGUUAGUAAUGUUGCAUCAUGCCCUGCUGGAGGCACUCAGAUACUACUGUGAUGAAUACCAUAUAAGAACUAGAUAGACUACAACAGGAUAGACUGAGCUGGGCCAUUCAGAGUGAUCACUGAUCAGAAACUGAUUUUAAAAACCACUCAGGGCUAGACUCAGUGGGCAAAACAUAUUGUUGAUUGUUU